GCCCGGCCGCCGCCGCACAUAAGCUGCGAGGAGGAGCUUUACGACUUCCCGGUCUUCGGGGCCGGGCGCAGCAAGGGCCAGACUCUGCGCUAGCAGGCGCUGCGCGCCAACCGGCCGGCACCUGUCGCAGAAGGUGCAACCGAUCGCACUGUCGCGCAGAAGCUCCUCAAUGGCCAGCGCCAGCUGCAGCCCCGGCCGCCCACUCGCCUCAUCUGAGCCUGGCUGGCAGCCUGCUAUCAAUUACAUUGAUAGUAAAUUUGAGGACUACCUAAAUGCAGAAUCGCAAGUGAACAGAUGUCAGAUGCCUGGUAACAGGGUGCAGUGUUGUUUAUACUUCAUUGCUCCUUCAGGACAUGGCUCUGUUCACGGAAAGGGCCUGGGAGCUGCAACACCUCAACAGCAACGAGCACACCUGCUACCUAGAACUUGGUUUCUAAAAACCAUCCUCCUCUAAAAGGAAACAGAGCUCUUUGAAGAAAUGGUAAUUUCAAAGCUAGAGCACAGAAAGUAUAAGAUGAGCCCAGAAUAUCUUUUUGUACAAGAAAGUAAGGCAAUGCUCAAAGAAUGAUGGAGACAUGCCCAAAAAAAGCAGAGAAGCCAACUUGAAAAGAUUCCAACAGGCCAAAUAUGGGACAAUUUGAACAUCAGAAUAAAAUGGUGACAGUCACAGAAUUAUAACCCAUUGAAGAAAGGAAUUCAUGACAUCAUAUUAAUAUAAAUAAUAAUUGAAUAUUGAAAUUCGUUAAAGGAAAUGAGAUAUUUAUGUAGUCUUAAGGUAUCUUCUCACAAAUUAUGUAUUACUUACAAAGGGGAAAAGUGCACCUUGACAUGAGAAUCUUGGCAGAACCACUUUAAUCAAGAGGUUUAGUUGAGCAUUAUCAGUAACAGAGUAAAUCAAAAUCAUGAGCCACUUGAUAGAUACAAUGAGAAAAUAAAGCAUCACUUCUGUGACACCCUAUAAAAAAUGAAUCUAAUAAUGAGGAAACAUUAGAAAAAAACCAAACUGAGGGAUAUUCUACAAAUAAAUGGUCCUGU
rnacentral:lncRNA from 10 species